CAGGACAGCAUGGACUCCAAAGUGGGGAGGGCCUGGGAGAAGGCCACAAACUUGGGGAGAGGGAGAGCAAGGAGCAAAGAGGUGGAGGCUGGUCUAGAUGGAGUGGGGAAGUCAGAGUGGGCGACCAGGGACAAAAUAUAUCAGUAUCCUUUAUGGCCAUUUUUCCUUUUGCAGGGGCAAGGGGAAUAUCUCCUGGUUGUCCUGAUUGCUGAGGCCCGGGCAUGCCUCCCGCCCUCUGCCUGGCGCGGUGGGCAUGUAGUGUCCAGCCUCGGUGCCAUCAGCUGUGGGCAGCAAGCAGACUAUACCAUCUCCUGGGGUGGUAGGUGGGAGCGGUGGACUCUUGUGAUCCAGGGUUGUACCUGCCAGCAGAAUGAGGACACCCGGGUCAGCAGCCUCAGUAUGCCCGAGGGUCAGCGCGAACAAUCCUCGCUCUAUUUAGUAAAGCACUGCACGACUGGAUCACACAGGUUGCUAUGUGUUCAGAGCACUGCAGAGGGAAGAACCCACAGGGAAACCAGUUAGGAAAGCCGUGGCGACAGUCCCAGUGGGAUCUGAGCGGGCUGGAGCGCAGCAGCAGAGAUGGAGGAACCGGAACACUCACCGGAGAGGCAAGCCUCGGACGGGGGCGGGGCCGGGGCUCGAGCUGAUAAAGUAAUUCAGCCCCUGACGCCGGCGGGCGAGGGAGGAGGCGGUGCGUCGGCUCGGGCCUCCCCCGCAGCUA
rnacentral:lncRNA from 1 species